rnacentral:rRNA from 1 species
UGGGGAAUCUUGCGCAAUGGACGAAAGCCUGACGCAGCAACGCCGCGUGAGUGAUGAAGGCCUUCGGGUUGUAAAGCUCUUUUGGCGGGGAAGAUAAUGACGGUACCCGCAGAAUAAGCUCCGGCUAACUUCGUGCCAGCAGCCGCGGUAAUACGAAGGGAGCUAGCGUUGUUCGGAAUCACUGGGCGUAAAGCGCACGUAGGUGGGCAGUUAAGUCAGGGGUGAAAGCCCGAGGCUCAACCUCGGAAUUGCCUCUGAUACUGGCUGUCUAGAGUCCGAGAGAGGUGGGUGGAAUUCCUAGUGUAGAGGUGAAAUUCGUAGAUAUUAGGAAGAACACCGGUGGCGAAGGCGGCCCACUGGCUCGGUACUGACGCUGAGGCGCGAAAGCCAGGGGAGCAAACGGGAUUAGAUACCCGAGUAGUCCCUGAGCGGGCUGGCAAGGCGCAU